GCGGCGUGCCUAAUACAUGCAAGUCGAGCGAAUGAUGAGGAGCUUGCUCCUCUGAUUUAGCGGCGGACGGGUGAGUAACACGUGGGUAAUCUGCCUGUAAGACGGGGAUAACUCCGGGAAACCGGGGCUAAUACCGGAUAAUAAGAGAAGAAGCAUUUCUUCUUUUUGAAAGUCGGUUUCGGCUGACACUUACAGAUGAGCCCGCGGCGCAUUAGCUAGUUGGUGAGGUAACGGCUCACCAAGGCGACGAUGCGUAGCCGACCUGAGAGGGUGAUCGGCCACACUGGGACUGAGACACGGCCCAGACUCCUACGGGAGGCAGCAGUAGGGAAUCUUCGGCAAUGGGCGAAAGCCUGACCGAGCAACGCCGCGUGAGCGAUGAAGGCCUUCGGGUCGUAAAGCUCUGUUGUUAGAGAAGAACAAGUACGAGAGUAACUGCUCGUACCUUGACGGUACCUAACCAGAAAGCCACGGCUAACUACGUGCCAU
rnacentral:rRNA from 2 species